rnacentral:rRNA from 1 species
CUAUUGGUUCGGAACAACUGAGGGAAACUUCAGCUAAUACCGGAUGAGCCCGAAAGGGGAAAGAUUUCUCGCCAAUAGAUCAGCCCGCGUCCGAUUAGCUAGUUGGCGGGGUUAAAGCCUACCAAGGCGACGAUCGGUAGCUGUUCUGAGAGGAAGAUCAGCCACACUGGGACUGAGACACGGCCCAGACUCCUACGGGAGGCAGCAGUUGGGAAUCUUGGACAAUGGGGGAAACCCUGAUCCAGCCAUGCCGCGUGAGUGAUGAAGGCCUUCGGGUUGUAAAACUCUUUCGACGGGGACGAUAAUGACGGUACCCGUAGAAGAAGCUCCGGCCAACUUCGUGCCAGCAGCCGCGGUAAUACGAAGUGGGCUAGCGUUGUUCGGAAUUACUGGGCGUAAAGCGCGCGCAGGCGGUCUUCAAGUCAGUGGUGAAAGCCCGGAGCUCAACUCCGGAACUGCAUUGAAACUGUGAGACUUGAGUACGAGAGAGGUGAGUGGAAUUCCAGUGUAGAGGUGAAAUUCGUAGAUAUUGGGAAGAACACCGGUGGCGAAGCGGUUACUGGCUCGUAACUGACGCUCAGGCGCGACAGCGUGGGGAUCAAACAGGAUUAGG